rnacentral:lncRNA from 1 species
UAGGCAGGCUUGAGGAGGUGGUGUCUGAUUUACAUAGGGCUCACAGAUUGGUUUGACAGAUGUGACAUUUACAUAGCAUGUGGGGAAGGCUGGUUGCCCCACCCUAAUCUUAUUAAGCAAAUAGUCUUUCCACUUGGCCAGCGCCAUCUUGUCUGAUCCUUACUGUACACGUGGCUGGCCAAGAGAAGAGAAGAUGGAGCGGCCAUUUUGAUCAUGCCUAGUCCCAGAAUAUAUCAGCUGUGAAAAUAAGUGAAAGAAAGAUUUUCUUAUCUCCAACAUUUCUGGGAAGGGGUGUGUCUGUGGAUUUUAUGUUACUGGAAAGAGACAAUCCAGUAGUCCACUUUGUCAGGAGUGUUUCAAACAACAUCUGUGAACCCACUGGACUUCAAGCUCCUACAGGCUAGAGAUUUGGUCUAUUUCAUCUGCAUUGUGAAAGGUCCUGGAGACUGAGAAUCAGGAAUUACUAGACUAUAAUGGAUGAGAUUUAUAAAAAAUAAGAUGAAGGUAAGCAGCUGUGCACAGCUGCUCUGCUAUAUUGGGAGGAAACUAGAACAAAGACACAAAACAAGAGUUGCAAGGGUAUAUGUACAUGUUCUGCCUGUGUUUAAGAGCCUAUCUAUGUUGCAUUUUGAGUUAUCUUGCUGGAGGAUAAGUUUGCAAGUUUGAGGCAAAAAGGCUUUGUGCUCUUGUGGUAAGAUCAUCAGGGAACAGCUCUCUGGAGGUGGUGCAGUGCAUAAGAGAGAAACUGGCUAGUGGUGGAAAUAAUACACUCCUUGGAAAAAGUAAAAGGAAAAUGUAAAAUGGAGUCUACCUUCUGGAUGCAAAGAAAUUCUCAUCAUCACGUGAUAGCAAGAUAGAAAAUAUGGUGACAACAAAAUUUUGACCAUUUAUAAAUAAUAAGUGAACUUCCAAAAAAGAAGGGAAAUGUUUGGAGACCAAAAUUAAGAGAAGCCACAAUGGUUUUGAUAUCAGGAUGAUGCUGGCCUCAUAAAAUGAGUUAGGGAAGAGUACCUCCUUUUCAAUUGUUUGGAAUAGUUUCAGAAGAAAUGGUACCAGCUCCUCUUUGUACCUCUGGUAGAAUUCAGUGUAAAUCUGUCUGGUCCUGGGCUUUUUCUGGUUGGUAGGCUAUUUAUUACUGCCUUAAUUUUAGAACUCCUUAUUGGUCUAUUUAGGGAUUCAACUUCUUCCUGGUUCAGAUUUUGGGAGGGUGUAUAAGAAUUUAUCAAUUACUUGUAGAUUUUCUAGUUUGUUUGCAUAGAGAUGUUUAUACUAUUAUUUCAUGGCUGUUUGUAACUCUGUGGAGUCAGUGGUAAUAUCCCUUUUAUCACUUCUGAUUGUGUCUAUUUGAUUUUUCUCUCCUUUCUUCUUUAUUAGUCUAGCUAGUGGUCAAUUUUACUAUUUUUUUUUUUAAACAGCUCCCUCCUGGAUUCCUUGAUGUCUUGAGGGGUUUUUGUGUGUGUGUGUCUCUAUCUCCUUCAGUUUGCUCUGAUCUUGGUUAUUUCUUGUAUUCUGGUAGCUUGGGGUUUGUUUGCUCUUAAUUCUCUAGUUCUUUUAAUUGUGAUGUUAGGAUAUUGAUUUAAGAUCUUCUAGCUCUUUGAUACGGGCAUUUAGUGCUAUAAAUUUCCCUCUUAAAACUGCUUCAGCUGCGUCCCAGAGAUUCAAGUAGGUUUUCUCUUUGUUCUCAUUAGUUUCAAAGAACUUCUUGAUUUCUACCUUAAUUUCAUUACUUACCCAGGAGUCAUUCAGGAGCAGGUUGUUCCAUUACUAUGUAGUUCUGUGGUGUUCAUAUCUUAAUCUUGAGUUUUAAUUUGAUUGUGCUGUGAUCUGAGAGACUGUUAUUAUUUUAGUUUUUUUGCAUUUGCUGAGGAGUGUUUUACCUCUAAGUAUGUGAUCAAUUUUAGAGUAAGUGCCAUAUGGCACUGAGAAGAAUGUAUAUUCUCUUGUUUUGGGGUACAGAGUUCUGUGAUAUCUAUCAGGUCCACGUGAUCCAGAGCUGAGUUUAGGUCCUGAAUAUCUUUGUUAAUUUUCUGUCUCAACGAUCUGUCUGAUAUUGACAGUGGGAUGUUAAAGCCUUCCACUAUUAUUGUGUGGGAGUCUAAGUCUCUUUGUAGGUCUCUAAGAAUUUGUUUUAUAAAUCUGGGUACUCCUGUAUUGGCUGCAUGUAUAUUUAGGGUAGUUAGCUCUUCUUGUUGAAUUGACCCUUUAGCAUUAUGUAAUGCCCUUCUUUGUCUUUUUUGAUCUCCGUUGGUUUAAAGUCUGUUUGCCAGAUACUAGGAUGGCAACCCCUGUUUUUUUCUGUUUUACGUUUGCUUGGUAAAUAUUCCUCCAUCCCUUUAUUUUGAGCCUAUGUGUGCCUUUGCACAUGAGACGGGUCUCUUAAAUACUGCACACUGAUGGGUCUUGACUCUUUAUCCAGCCUGCCAUUCUGUAUCUUUUAAUUGGGGCAUUUAGCCCAUUAAUAUUUAAGGUUAAUACUGUCAUGUGUGAAUUUGAUCCUGUCAUCGUAAUGCUAGCUGGUUAUUUUGCAGACUUGUUUAUGUAGUGACUUCAUAGUGUCACUGGUCUGUGAACUUCAGUGUGAUUUGUAGAGGCUAGUCAUGGCUUUUUAUUUCCAUAUUAUGUGUUUCCUUCAGCUGCUCUUGCAAGGCAGGCAUGGUAGUAAUGAAUUCCCUCAGCAUUUGCUUGUCUGAAGAGGAUUUUAUUACUCCUUCGCUUAUAAAGCUUAGUUUGGCUGGAUAUGAAAUUCUGGGUGGAAAAUCCUUUUCUUUAAGAAUUUUGAAUAUUGGCUUCCACUCUCUUGUGGCUUGUAGGGUUUGUGCUUAGAGGUCUGCUGUUAGUCUGAUGGGCUUCUUCUGUAGGUGACCUGGCCUUUCUCUCUGGCUGCCCUUAACAUUUUUUCCUUCAUUUCAAACUUGGAGAAUUUGAUGAUGAUGUAUCUUGGGGAUGCCCUCUCUCACCACUCCUUUCAACAUAGUGGAAGUUCUGGCCAGCACAAUCAGGCUGGACAACAUGAAAAUGUCUGAUAAUACCAAGUAUUGCCAGAGUGUGGACCAAGAAAAACUCUUACAAAUACUAAUAAAACUGUAAACCAUGUGAAAAACAAUUUAAUAUUGACUGUAUCAUACCCUGAAACAGAAAUCCACUCCUAGGUGAUACAUUAACUAGAAAAAUUUUUAUGCACAUUCAUAAAGAGAUAUAAACAAACAUGUUCCCAACAGUAUUACUUAUAAUAGUAAAAACUGUCAUCAGAAUGUGAAUGUGGUGAGUUUAUACAAUUAACUAUUAUGCAGCAUCAAAAAUCAGUCAACCAGAGUGACACAUAUGAAUAUGAAUCAUUAUUAUUUACAUAAUGUUGAUAUUUUAAAAAUCAAAAGCAAUUUGCAAAAGAAUGCAUACUGUAUUAUAUCAUUUAUAUAAGGGUUACCUAUGCUAAGCGAUACAAAAAUAUUGUUAGUACUCAAAGUGCACAAAAUGUAUGAAUGUAUAAAUGUACAAAUAAAUACAAAAUUUAGAAAUGAGGUUAUCUUUUGUGUGUGGGGGAAUGGGGUGGACAGAGAGAGGAAUGGGAGAGGAGGCUUCAGUCAUAUCCAUAAUGCUUUCUUAAUGGGCAUAAUGGGUAUAUCAGUGGUCACUGUAUUUUUUCAUCUUAGGCAAAUUAAUGUUUACAAAAUAAUUAUUCAAAUGAAUUAAAAUCCACAAUAAAGAAGCAUUUUCUUUAGCUAGAACAGAUUGUUAAUUUGAGAGGCCAAUUUCAUAGUAAAAGCCCUCUAACAAAUUCAUUUGAAGAAAAAUCUUAAUGACCUACCUCCAUUUUCUAUUCAGAACCUCAGCCUGGUUUUUCAAAAACUAACCACAACAAAGCAUCACUGUCCACCCUUACAGUACCCCACUCAUACUGAUCCUGUCUUACUAAGGUCUACUGUCUCUGAGGUUUUCAGACCUUCAUCUUCAUGCAUCAAAAUUCAGUAAUGUUUUCUAUUUCCCUAAUUACCAGUAUCUAAUUAAGCCAAUCCUGUUAAGAUACUAACAACUCAAAAACUAAAAGUGUUAUCCUGUCUAUAUGUACUUUUAUUUUAAUGAGUAAUUGCCAAAGGGGAUAUCUUUUACGACAAGUGUAGCAUUUCAGGCAUCCAAAGGGAAAUAUUCAAAGAUAUUUGACAUCUUAUUGUUUAAUAUCGCCAUGAGUUUUAUUUUCAAAUAAGGUUAGUCUUGCUUAUCCUAAGAAGCAUUAUCAUUUCAAAGAUUUUAGCAGUGUGGGUCAAAGAAAUUGAUUAACAACUUGCAAAAUUUUAUAGCCUUAAUGUCUAAACAUUUAUAGAUGUAAUAGGAACAUCAAAUCUGUUAAAACUGCCUUGAUCUAAUUUGUAAAAUGGUGAUAGUUUUUAGUGUUGGGCCUCUGCUUGAACAACAUCCAAAGUAUAUUUAGCAUUUAUCUUUCUCCAAUUUUUAGACAGUCAUCUGCAUUUCCAGAGGGUUGAUGACAGGGCAGCUUGAAGUUUAAAGACAGCACCUGCAUUUGCAUUUCAAUAGUUCCAUAAUUCUAUGAAACCACUGAAAUCUCUUCAAUGUCUCAUUGUUUAAAUAGUAAAGGUGGCCAGAUUUUGUUCAAGAUUCAUAAUCUUACAAAAAUAUGGAGCCGUUGUAUUCAAAGCUUAUUCUAAAGAGAAUACCUUCUCUUUACACCUUAUAAUCCUGUUUGUUAAAACCCAUAACAAUUAGGUGGACAUCUGAACAUAUUUAAAGUAUUUUAUCCAUUGGAUUUUUAUGGUCCAAAAUCAAGAUUCUAGGACAAGAUAAAUGGGAAAGGAGGACAUGUAGUUUGAAAUGUGUUAUAUCAGCACCAUCAAUUUUUAAUUCGGGGUUCCAAAAUUAUCUUUUUCUCCAUUGGAAAGGAAUACGUUUGUUUCCACGUAGGAAACUACUUCCACUUAACACACAGAAGGUAACUUCAUUGGUAGGUAUGCUGCCUGUAUGCAAGGAUCUGCAGUUACUCAUAACUGGCUGUGUUUUUAAACAGAAUAAUUUUUGUCAAAUAUUUUGAUACAAAACAAUGAAGCCUGAAGUUAAAAUAAGAAAUUCUGGGCUCAAGUGCAGGGCAACUGGACACCCUUAUGAGAUGAGCCUUUGUGCCCUUCCUGUAAGUGUGGAUUAGAUUAUCCACCACCUAGAUUUAAGAAAGGAUUAAAUGAAAGAAUAUAUGUGAAAGUACUGUGUUGACUGUAUUAAAAAGAACUGGAAACCCAUAAAGGACCGCUAUAAUUGUGUAAUUGUUGCGCCAGGUUAUUUUGUCAAUACAUUUUUAAUCAGCACCUAAAAUAUUUCAUGUCACUUCAUCCAGCAGAGACAUUGAGAUGUGGCAAAAUGUUU